UCGAACGGUAGAGGGGGCAACCCCUUGAGAGUGGCGAACGGGUGAGUAAUGCAUCGGAACGUGCCCGGUAGUGGGGGAUAGCCCGGCGAAAGCCGGAUUAAUACCGCAUACGACCUGAGGGUGAAAGCGGGGGACCGCAAGGCCUCGCGCUAUUGGAGCGGCCGAUGUCAGAUUAGGUAGUUGGUGGGGUAAAGGCCUACCAAGCCUGCGAUCUGUAGCUGGUCUGAGAGGACGACCAGCCACACUGGGACUGAGACACGGCCCAGACUCCUACGGGAGGCAGCAGUGGGGAAUUUUGGACAAUGGGCGCAAGCCUGAUCCAGCCAUGCCGCGUGCGGGAAGAAGGCCUUCGGGUUGUAAGCCGCUUUUGUCGGGGAAGAAAUCUUCUGAGCUAAUACCUCGGGAGGAUGACGGUACCCGAAGAAUAAGCACCGGCUAACUACGUGCCAGCAGCCGCGGUAAUACGUAGGGUGCAAGCGUUAAUCGGAAUUACUGGGCGUAAAGCGUGCGCAGGCGGUUGUGCAAGACAGAUGUGAAAUCCCCGGGCUCAACCUGGGAACUGCAUUUGUGACUGCAUGACUGGAGUACGGCAGAGGGGGAUGGAAUUCCGCGUGUAGCAGUGAAAUGCGUAGAUAUGCGGAGGAACACCGAUGGCGAAGGCAGUCCCCUGGGCCUGUACUGACGCUCAUGCAC
rnacentral:rRNA from 1 species